rnacentral:piRNA from 1 species
UUCUCAUAGGUAAAAUGAUUGGCAGC